rnacentral:rRNA from 1 species
UAAGUAACCUGGCCUUUACAGGGGAGUAACUGUUGGAAACGAUAGCUAAGACCGCAUAGGCGUGAUAACCGCAUGGAGAUGACAUGAAAUAUGCUACGGCAUAGGUAGAGGAUGGACUUAUGGCGCAUUAGCUAGUUGGAGGGGUAACGGCCCACCAAGGCGACGAUCCAUAGCCGGCCUGAGAGGGUGAACGGCCACAUUGGGACUGAGACACGGCCCAG